AAGUUGUUCAAAUUACGAACCCUGUUGACUUUGUAAAUCUAAAAGUUUGCGUUUUCUGUUUCUGUUUUGGGAAGUUCUUACUUUUCUGCGAGUUUUUGGUGGCUUUAUUGUUAAAUAUUGAUCAUGGGAAUCCUGGAGUUUCCCCUUUUCUAAAUUUUGUGAGGAUUAUUUCUUGUUUUACUUCUUUAGUGAGGGAUUAAGUGAUGGCAGUUUGACGAUGAUGGAUCACUCACCAAAAAAUGAUAUGAGUUGAUGCUUGGCUGUGGAAUAUUUCAUUGAACUUGCGAAUUACUUGGCGAUAACACAAUGAACUUUCGAUAGUGAAAAGAACCCACACGUCACGUGGUUAACUCUGUUCGGAUUUAUCGGCUUAUGGUAACCUCCAAUCUAUUUUUUUCCUGGCUUGGCAUGUAAUUUACCUAUCCUGUCUAGGUUUAACAAGCAGCAUUCUUCUUCAACACUACUUUAAUUUUGGUUGGUGGUUGUCAUCUACUUUCUUCCACCCUUCAAUUUUAGUGUUGGUUUCCAUGUUAGCCUUAUUGCUUAUUUCAUCUGUCACCAUUUAAAUGAACUUCAAUGAUGUUUUCGUAGUCAUCACUAUUUUGUUUCCUAAAGGGUGAGUAUCCUUUCUGUAACAGCUUUUCCACUUCUUCAAACUGCAUUCCUUUGAUUUCAGGUACAAGGAAAUGGCGACUAGUCCAAUGGAGAACCCGGC
rnacentral:lncRNA from 1 species